rnacentral:piRNA from 1 species
UCAUAUUGUGAUUCCUUCUAUGAGGCUGC